rnacentral:rRNA from 1 species
AGUGAACGCUGGCGGUAGGCCUAACACAUGCAAGUCGAACGGCAGCACAGUAAGAGCUUGCUCUUACGGGUGGCGAGUGGCGGACGGGUGAGGAAUACAUCGGAAUCUACUUUUUCGUGGGGGAUAACGUAGGGAAACUUACGCUAAUACCGCAUACGACCUUCGGUUGAAAGCAGGGGAUCUUCUGACCUUGCGCGAUUGAAUGAGCCGAUUUCGGAUUAGCUAGUUGGCGGGGUAAAGGCCCACCAAGUCGACGAUCCGUAGCUGGUCUGAGAGGAUGAUCAGCCACACUGGAACUGAGACACGGUCCAGACUACUACGGGAGGCAGCAGUGGGGAAUAUUGGACAAUGGGCGCAAGCCUGAUCCAGCCAUACCGCGUGGGUGAAGAAGGCCUUCGGGUUGUAAAGCCCUUUUGUUGGGAAAGAAAAGCAGCAGGUUAAUACCCCGCUGUUCUGACGGUACCCAAAGAAUAAGCACCGGCUAACUUCGUG